GGCCCGGGCGUAGCCCCGCCCCCGCGCAUGCUCACGCGCAUCCUUGAGCUCCCGCGGCGCGCGCGAGGCCCGAGCGUCGGGCGGCUGCGUGGUAGCUGCUGGCUCAGUUUCCUCCCCAGGUGUGAUAGCUGCUAAAUCCUGGAGACAGUAGGCUUCCGGGAAUAGUUGACGCCGGAAUACAGAAGAAGCUGACAGUUCGAAAUCAAGCUUUAAAUGAACGUUUCUGCUGGUCAGCUUGCGUUCAUCCGACCCCAUGCUGUGGGUGGGCCCCCGAGUGACCCAGCGGGGCGCGGAGACCUGCAAUGGCAGGACCCCGAGUGGUCGGCAAGGGGCUGUGCAGGGUGAAAACGUACAGGAGCCCUGGGUAAAAAGAUUCUAAAGCUGCCCUUAAGUAUAUGAGGUGAGGGGAAGGAGAGGUUCAGUCUUAGACCUGUCUCCCCCAUACUGAAAUCCAUGGUGCACCAAUAUUUUAUAUGAAAUCCUGCUGAAUUUGCAUAUGACCUCAGUACAUUCUCAUGUAUUUUGUAAAUCGUCUAGAUUCAAUGGAAAUCCUGUGAACAUAGUUCUAUACAUAUCUGUCAGGGAAUCCUGACAGCGGGGAAAUCUGUACAUGUUCAGUACAGACACAACCUUCUGCCCCCAUCCUGUGAAUAUUUUAGACCCGUGGUUGGUGAAUCUGCAGAUGGGGCGCCCAUGGGGAUGAGGGGCUUAAAUGUUUUGUUUUGUUUGAGACAGGGUUCCCCUGUGUAGUGUAGGUUACCCCUGAACUCAAUGUAGCCCAGGCUGGCCUUGAGCUCACGGGGGAUCCUCCUGUCUCAUCCUCCGUAGUUCACGGAUUAUAGGCCUGCACUACUACUCCGAGCUGAAGGGCUUAUUAUAGGGAGACCUACAUCCCAAAUACACAUUAUGCCAGUAAAAACAAUAUAUUCCUCUCAGGCAUAAUCUCAGGAUGAAUAAAUCUAAGAUGUAGCUAAGUCAGGAACUUAUGGGAUCACUGUGUGGAAGGAGGGUGGUAUCUUCUGACCAAGCAGGGCUGGGUCUUUUGCUUUCUGUAGGGGAAACGGGGCAGAGUCAGCCCUUUCCAACCAAAUGUCCCAAGAAUCCUGCUGAGAGCACUUCCCAGAAGAAAUCCAAGGCACUGUUUUUCAGAAGGAAGAUAAGGAUGCAGUACUGGCUGACACGGGGCCACCGCUGGUGCCUCCUCAGCCACAUCUUGCCAUCCUCCUCUCCCUUGUCUGCCUUUUACCAGCUCUGUCACCGUCAGUCUCCUACACAGGGCCCUCACUGUUGGGACUGGCUUUUACUCAAGGAAGCAAACUCCUGGACCAGGGCAGCUAGUGCCUCCUGGGCCAAAACUGGAAGAGGACUGCACUUAAGACCUCUUAAGGAGAACUGAAGCUUUGUACCCGUGAAGCAACUCCACCUUCUCCUUGCUCUCAGCCCCUGACGGUUGCCCUUCUACUUUGAUUCUUUGAAGUCCACUGUUGGGCAGCUCGUGUAAGUGCAGUCACACAGUUAUUUGUCCUUUUGUGAGUGGUUAUUUCGCUUAGCAUCAUCAUCCAGGUUCCUCCAUGCUGUGGCAUGUGUCAGGAUUUCCUUCUCUUUAAAGUAAAGGCUGAGUAAUUUACCUGUGCUGCUGCUGCAUCCACUCGUGGGUGGCUGGGUGCUGGAUGGCUGCUGCCUUUUGGCUGCUGCCAGAUGCCUCCAGGAGCCUUCAGCCUUUCUAUGCCUGUACUCAGGAGUGGAGUUGCCAGGUACAAUGGCAAUUUGAUGCUUCUAUACUGCUAAUCAUAGCAGCUGCAUCAUUCUGCAGUCCCACCAACGGCAUGCAAGGGUUUCGUUUUCUCCACAUGCCUGCCAAUAUCUGUCUGCUGUUUGCGUUCAGCAGCAGCCAUCCUGAUGCAUGUGAGGUGGUGUCUCCUUGUGGUUUUGAUUCUCAUUUCCCUGGUACUUAGUGAUGUCGAGCACCUUUCCAUGUGCUCCCUGGCCAUUUGUAAAACUCCUUUGGAUGAAGCCACUUCUAAAAUGCUUACUUAAGUUUUCUUUAAAAACUGAACUAAUUAAAAGUGUGGGAUAAAUGGGCUGGGGAUUUAACUCAGUGGCAUAAGCACCUGCUUUGCAAGUCACAGUCCUGAGUUCAAUCUGGGUACAAAAAAGAAAAGUGUAAGGUAAAUAAAAGUCCAGAGGCUGGGCAAGGCCCGCCUCCUGGAAGGCGCUGCUGAGGCCUGACUCGGUGUGCCUUUGAACCCCGCUGGUCUGAGCGAGGCCUUUCUCUUAUUAUUGACUUAGACCUUUUUGUCACCAUUCCUUGAAUCCGAGGCAACCAUUCUAAUGCAUUUAAUAUGCUUUUUGGUUUGUGGUGUUGUAAGAUGUAUGUUGUACAGCAUGCAACAGUGUUGAGUUGUAGAUGUCAUUCUGUUUUCCAUUCUUUUCACCCAAUAGUGUGUUUUUUUAAAGAAAAAAACCCUUUCCUUACAUUUAUUAAUUUUUAUAUCAAAUCAUAUCCCCAAAAAGUACAAAAGCCUUAUAUGUAAUACCAGAGUUUUCCAACGCAAAAACACCUUAGAGCACAGUGGCUCCACUGGAGUGGAAAUGUGUCAGCUUUCGCCCUUCAGUGUCACCUCAGUCCCUCUCUCCUGUCCUCUCCCUGAGUGCUCCGUCCUCCUUGGGUCUUGGUCUGUGUUUGCACUUCCACUGCUGCUGCUGACCCCGCUCCUUCCCCAUGCUGUGGCACAGGAGAGCCUCCAUGGAGACCCAGCGCAGGCCUGUGGGGAGGACCCUGCAGUCCUUGGGACUGCUGCCUGCGAUCUGUGCAGGUGUGAGAUGCAUCUGUGUUGGCCAGGCACCCUUGCACUCAGUGUGUAGGGCCAUCUCCUCCUGGGGAAGGACUGGAGGAAGCUAUCUCCACUUCCCAUGGUGGCUUUACAGGAGACAAGCAGAGAGACAGGCCUUAGGUCAUGGAGCACAGCCUCUGGGCCACCAGACUGCACACAAGGAAAGGACUCUAGGAAGUGUAGAGGACAUUAUUUUAACAAUGCUAUGCACAUUUAACAUUACCUUUUACUUUGCAGCAAAGCGACUUAGCUUUCAGUGAUAGUCAUGGCACCUGUCUUCCAACAGUGAGUGUCUUAAGACAAAGCAUAAUGAGGAGUCAUCACAUGGAACCCAGGAGUGAUGAGAUCCUAAACUUGUGUGCAGUGUCAAAAUAUAGGAAAUACUGACUGAAAAAGAGUAGAGGACCCCAGAACUGACUUCAUAUCGUUGAUGUGCUAGAGAUGAUUGUUAAAUAUUCAGCAAUUUUUGAGGCUGGUACCCUGAAAUUGACUGAGGCAUUAGGGUAAUAAUUAUACCAUGGAAACUGGCAACCAUUAGAAAUUGCAAUAUUCUUGUGAUCUGUCUCCGUCUUUUUUUCUCCUUCCUCUCCUCUCUCUCCUCCGUCUGUCUUCCUCAUUUUCAGAAUGCCAUUGGCUCAAAUCAUUUAUGCCAACUUCUGUUACCUUUUGUCCUUUUUGGGUACUCCCUCUGUGAGAUGGAGGUGGUGGUCUGUCUCUCCUUUCUUCUCCCUCCUCUCUCAUCCUCCCAGAUGCAGGUGAGGUGAUGGAUGCCUAGAAGCUAUAGCUCCUGUCAGUACCCUGUUUCCUUGUGACUCAUUGCUGCGAGGACCAGGACUGGCCUGGUGAGGACUGAAGCGCUGCCCUCCCACAGGCAUUGCCUGGAGCAGGGGGCAGUCAGUUCCCUGAAGACACUCAGGCCAGUCAGCACCCUCUUUCCCUAACUGGGUGGGGUGGUGCGUGCCUGUGACACUAACACUUAUGAGGCUGAGGCAGGAGGACUGCAAGUUGGAACCCAGCCUGGGCAACUUUAUGACUUAGUAAAACUUGUCUUAAAAUAAAAAAUAGAAAACAACUGGGGAUGUGGCUUUGGGUUCAAUCUCUUACACACCAAGAAAAUAAAGUUUGAAUUAUUUUGUGA